rnacentral:lncRNA from 1 species
UUCUCAACAUUACAUUUCCAUUAAAAUUCUUCAGACGCAAACAAUGAAAGCAGUUAAAUAAUUCUUUAACAUGUAUCUUCCAAGAUAUCUGUAGGAUCAGUUAAUAUCUUUUAGUUCUAUUCUGACAAUCUGAUAAAAUAUUGUAAUUCUGAAAUGUAUUUAUCUCUGCUUCUCAGUCAUUAAGAAAGUUGACAUUAAAUUUACUUAUGUUGCAAAAGUACUAAUGCAGAAUCCAUGAACACUGGUUAGAGUAGCUGAACAUUACAUAACUGACAUAUUGUUGAAAAACUUUGCUAAACCUAAAAUCAGAUCUGAUCAACUUAGAUAAAUUCUUAUAGUUUUCAUUUAUAAGGCUUCAGCGUUUAUGUUAAGAAAAGUGUAUGGUUGCAUUUUGACUUUAAAAUUGAGUUAUCUUUCCUUUUUAUCCAGGAUUAUUUGGAAGUGAUCAGUGCUUUAUCAGAGUUUGACAAGCCGUCGUAUUUUGGUUUGCCAGAGAAUAUAGAGCAUUCAGCGUUCGUGACUUUUUGAUAAACGACAUUGUGUCUGAAAUCAGUGGCAGUUACUUGCGGAGAACAGGUACAUGUAUAUACUCUGGUAACAGAUUUACAGUAUCAGACAGUAUCCUAAGAACCCACAGACAUUCUAGAUAUAGAACCAACACACUCGGACAAGCUGGCAAGAUUUUACAUUCAAGAGUGGUGACAUUCUGCCCAAGAUUAGAGUCUGGAGAUACAUUGGCCAAUCUUAGAAUCUUAGAAUCUUUUUUUAGAUUUAAGUUUAAAAAUGACAGACUUAAGACUACAUGUAUAUUGUUUUCAUUCAAAGGCUUUUCUCUGCUUUUGUUUUUUAUCAACAUAUUAAGAUCUGGAAAAAAGUCAAUAUUACAAAAUAAAAGAAAGAAAAAGAUUUUUUUUAAAAUAAAUACUUAUGGAGUGACUUUAUCAUGUCUUUAAGAUAUGCAAGAUUACAGUGAUUUAUUGGACAAGAAACAACUUUUUCAACCUUAACAUCUGUUUCCACAAAUUGAAUGAACUUUUACAAAUAAAAUAGUAAAUUAUG